UGGGUUGUGGCUAAGUGGUAGAGUGCUUGCCUAGCAUGCAUGAGGCACUGGGGUUCGAUCCUCAGCACCACAU
rfam:Ictidomys tridecemlineatus contig099876, whole genome shotgun sequence.